CCUACGGGAGACAGCAGUGAGGAAUAUUGGUCAAUGGACGAGAGUCUGAACCAGCCACGUAGCGUGAAGGAUGACUGCCCUAUGGGUUGUAAACUUCUUUUAUAUGGGAAUAAAAUGUUCCACGUGUGGGAUUUUGUAUGUACCAUAUGAAUAAGGAUCGGCUAACUCCGUGCCAGCAGCCGCGGUAAUACGGAGGAUCCGAGCGUUAUCCGGAUUUAUUGGGUUUAAAGGGAGCGUAGGUGGAUUGUUAAGUCAGUUGUGAAAGUUUGCGGCUCAACCGUAAAAUUGCAGUUGAAACUGGCAGUCUUGAGUACAGUAGAGGUGAGCGGAAUUCGUGGUGUAGCGGUGAAAUGCUUAGAUAUCACGAAGAACUCCGAUUGCGAAGGCAGUUCACUGGACUGCAACUGACACUGAGGCUCGAAAGUGUGGGUAUCAAACAGGAUUAGAUACCCUUGUAGUC
rnacentral:rRNA from 1 species